CAGCCGCCGCGGUAAAACGAAGGGUGCAAGCGUUAAUCGGAAUUACUGGGCGUAAAGCGUGUGUAGGUGGUUGUUUAAGUCUGUCGUGAAAGCCCUGGGCUCAACCUGGGAAUUGCGAUGGACACUGGGCGACUAGAGUAUGGUAGAGGGUGGUGGAAUUUCCUGUGUAGCGGUGAAAUGCGUAGAUAUAGGAAGGAACACCAGUGGCGAAGGCGACCACCUGGACUAAUACUGACACUGAGGUGCGAAAGCGUGGGGAGCAAACAGGAUUAGAUACCCCAGUAGUCCCUGUCUCUUAUAC
rnacentral:rRNA from 1 species